UGGGGAAUUGUUCACAAUGGGCGCAAGCCUGAUGACGCAACGCCGCGUGGGGGAUGAAGGUCUUCGGAUCGUAAACCCCUGUCGAAUGGGACGAAAGACUCGCGAGUGAAUACUUCGCGAGAGUGACGGUACCGUUAAAGGAAGCCACGGCUAACUCUGUGCCAGCAGCCGCGGUAAUACAGAGGUGGCAAGCGUUGUUCGGAAUUACUGGGCGUAAAGGGCGCGUAGGCGGCCCUCUAAGUCAGACGUGAAAUCCCCCGGCUUAACCUGGGAACUGCGUCUGAUACUGCGAAUCUCGAGUCCGAUAGAGGUGAGUGGAAUUCCUAGUGUAGAGGUGAAAUUCGUAGAUAUUAGGAAGAACACCAGUGGCGAAGGCGGCUCACUGGAUCGGUGCUGACGCUGAGGUGCGAAAGCGUGGGGAGCAAACAGGAUUAGAUACUCGCGUAGUCCCUGAGCGGGCUGGCAAGGCGCAU
rnacentral:rRNA from 1 species